UUGCAGGCACGCGGUGCUGUUGGUGAGAGACCUGUUGCUGGACCUGUUAAAAGGCGAUUAGCUGGAAGGCGGGACGAAUCAGAGGAGCCUACCUGCACGUCCUCAUUCUCCCCCAUGUGUGGUCAGGGGGUUCAUAGCCGCAAGCCGAGACACAAAAACCACACCAACAACUAUUGCAAUAUGUUGUGGGUAUAACAAAGAUAGUGGCAAUUCUUACUAGGUUGGUUUCCUAAUUGUUCUGUUUGUGUUUCUUCCCCGUCUUCUAAAACCUGUAGAAGGAUGUGACGCUGAAGCCGCAGGAGCGGAGAGAGAAGUGGGAGAGACAGGUCGGGAAGAGGAGGAGGGAGCUGGAGAAUGGCAAGGCGGCGGACCUCGCCGAAAACGGUUACGACAACGAUGGAGGGAGCUCGGAGCGUGAGCGGGACCGGGGGAAGGAUCGGGCGAAGAAGCGAAUAUUGCUGAAGAAAAGCAAACAGAUGAAGGGAUUGCUGGCCCGCGCUGGCAGAAAGAGUGACGAUGAAGCACUGCCAGAGAUGGACGGACCCCAGCGGAGCAACUCCAAAGACCACCUGAGUGAGAGCUCUACCUUCUCAUUGUCAGGACGGGGCUAUUCGGUGAGUACUGUUUGUACACUCUUGUGGCCUUGCAGUUUCAAGAGGAAAAUAAAGGCAGGAUUUCUAUUUUUGCAUCUUCAUUUUUUAAUCAGGGGAAUCAGGCUAAUGAUUUUUUUUAAAGCAGACUCAAGUUGUUGCGCAUCCUUUCUGAUAGUUUACAAACUAGAUUUUGUCUUUUCAUUGUUUGUUUCUGUGCUUUUGUUGGCUGGUAACGGCACUGUUGUGCAGAAGCGAUUCCAAACAAAAGGUAUUAAGAAGCCAUGAAAUGAACAUCGUCAGUCUGCAAGGGGCUCUCGUGUUUUAACACUUUGUCCGAUGAGGUUUUCUGUUUAAUAUUUGUGCCUGCUGGAAUGUUAGAGAGAAUUUACUUUGAACUUAAAUUCUGUCACCAGGUGAAGGUCCUGCACUGUAAGACAAAGACCUUGAACU
rnacentral:lncRNA from 1 species